AGCGAACGCUGGCGGCAGGCUUAACACAUGCAAGUCGAACGGGCACUUCGGUGCUAGUGGCAGACGGGUGAGUAACACGUGGGAACGUACCUUUCGGUUCGGAAUAAUUCAGGGAAACUUGGACUAAUACCGGCUACGCCCUUCGGGGGAAAGAUUUAUCGCCGAAAGAUCGGCCCGCGUCUGAUUAGCUAGUUGGUGAGGUAAAGGCGUACCAAGGCGACGAUCAGUAGCUGGUCUGAGAGGAUGAUCAGCCACAUUGGGACUGAGACACGGCCCAAACUCCUACGGGAGGCAGCAGUGGGGAAUAUUGGACAAUGGGCGCAAGCCUGAUCCAGCCAUGCCGCGUGAGUGAUGAAGGCCUUAGGGUUGUAAAGCUCUUUUGUCCGGGAAGAAAAUGACAGUACCGGGAGAAUAAGCCCCGGCUAACUCCGUGCCAGCCGCCGCCGUAAGAC
rnacentral:rRNA from 1 species